rnacentral:lncRNA from 1 species
GUGUUGUUUUGUUUUUUGAGACAGGAUCUUGCUGUGUCACCCAGGCUGGAGUGCAGUGGCACCAUCAUGGCUCACUGCAGCCUCAACCUCCUGGGCUGAAGCAAUCCUCCCACCUCAGCCUCCUAAGUACCUGGGACUACAGACAUGCACCACCACGUCCAGCUAAUUGUUAAAUUUUGGAUUUUUUUGAGACAGGGUCUUGCUCUGUCAUGCAGGCUGAAAUACAGUGGUAAAACCAUGGCUCACUGCAGCCUCCACCUCCCAGGCUCAAGCAAUUCUUCUGCCUCAGCCUCCAAAAGUAGCUGGAACUACACGUGUGCACCACUGUGCCUGGAUAAUUUUUUUAUUUUUUGUGGAGAUAGGGUUUUGCCAUAUUGCCCAAGUUGGAGAAAAAGAUUUUAAAACUUUCCUUCAUGACACUGUUUUUGGGAAAACAACAACAACAACAACAACAACAACAAACCCUCAAAAAAAUGUUUAAAACUGAUAUAAAACCCUAUCACACAGAAAAAAAAAACCAUAUUUUGGUUCUCAAGAUUUGGUUCUCUACGUUACCCAGGCUGGGUCUGGUCUUCAACUCCUGGGCUUAAGUGAUCCUCCUGCCUCCACCUGAGCCACUGCCCACAGACCACUUAAGUAUUCUUGUCAAAAAUGUGUUUUGUUUCGUUUUUGUUUUUGUUUUUUUUUGAGAUGGAGUUUUGCUCUUGUUGCCCAGGCUAGAGUGCAAUGGCACAAUCUCAGCUCACUGCAAUCUCCACCUCCCGGGUUCAAGCAAUUCUCCUGCCUCAGCCUCCCAAGUAGCUGAGAUCAUAGGCGUGCACCACCAUGCCCAGCUAAUUUUGUAUUUUUAGUAGAGAUGGGGUUUCUCCAUGUUGGUCAGGCUGGUCUCAAACUCCCGAUCUCAGGUGAUCUGCCCGCCUCGGCCUCCUAAAGUGCUGGGAUUACAGAUGUGGGCAACCGUGCCCGGCCAUCAAAAAUGUUUUAAUGUGAGUCUAAUCAAGCCACUAGACCUAACUUCAAGUUUAUAAGAAAUUUAGGUCAAGAAAAAGUUAAACAUGAACACACGUAAACAAAACAUCCUGGUUUACCCAGGACUGAGGGGUUUCUCAGGAUGUAAGAUCAGUGUUCAAACUAGGAGAGUCCUAGGCAAACCAAGACAGUUGGUCACCUUAAAAUCAGACAAAUCCAUAAUGUGGAACAGACCUGGUUUCUAAAAAGUCAGUGCCUUGGGUAAAAAGAAAAAGUGAGGAGAUCAUUCUAGAUUAAGAGAGACUAAAGAGGCCAUACACGGAGGCUCAUGCCUGUAAUCCCAGCAUUCUGGGAGGCCAAGGUGGGUGCAUCACUUGAGGUCAGGAGUUCAAGACCAGCCUAGCCGACAUGGUGAAACCCCAUCUCUACUAAAAAUACAAAAAUUAGCCAGGUGUGGUGGCACACACCUGUAAUCCCAGCUACUCGGGAGGCUGAGGCAGGAGAAUCACUUGAACUCAGGAGGUGGAGGUUGCAGUGAGCUGAGAUCGUGUCACUGCACUCCAGCCUGGGCUGUGACAGAGCAAGACCAUCUCCCAAAAAAAAGAGAUACUAAAGAGACACAGACAAAACCACCAAAUGUAACAUGUGAAUUGGCCAUAAAAAACAUUUUGGGGACAGUUGGGGAAAUUGAAUAUAAAGCAGUGCUACCCUGCCAGUCCACAGAUGUAAAUGAACAAUGUCGCUAAGUCAGUACACUGUGUAAUUCAGCUGCCUUUUUUUUUUUUUUUUUUGAAAAAGACUUUUUUGAUAAAGAAUGUGGUACUCUGGCACUCUGGGAGGCCGAGGCGGGCAGAUCACUUGAGGUCAGUAGUUCAAGACCAGCCUGGCUAACAUGGUGAGAUCUUAUCACUACAAAAAAAUUAAAAAAUAGCCAGGCAUGGUAGCAAACACGUGUAGUCCCAGCUACUUGGGAGGCUGCGAUAGGAGGAUCCCUUGAGCCCCGGAGUUCAAGGUGGCAGUGAGCCAUGAUGGCGCUACUGCACUACAGCCUGGGUAACAAAGCAAGACUCUGUCUUAAAAAAAAAAAUUAUGACUCACUAAAGACUCAGAUGAUUUUUAGCAUUUUUAAAGCAAUAAAGUACAUUUUAAUUAAGGUACAUACACUGGUUUUUUAGAUAUAAUGAUAUUGCACACUUAAUAGACUAUAGUAUAAGCAAUGUUUAUAUGCACUGGGAAACCAUAAAAUUCACAUUACUUGCUUUAUUGAGAUAUUCACUUUGUUGUGGCAAUCUGGAACCAAACCUGCAAUAUCUCUGAGGGCAUAACUAUAAACAAGUAACAAAAUUAUGAGGAAGUUGAUUUUCCAUAGCCAAUCCUGUAUUUAUUCAUUAAAUAUUCCUUGAAGGAGGAAUAUUUAAGUUAAAAACAGAAAGGUAAAUAGAGUAAACCAGAAGAGUUAGGGAAAAGAAUAUUCCAAGCUGAGGAAACAGAAUGUAAAUAGGACCAAAAGGGAAGAACUUUCUCCUUUUCAGGGAAAGGAAUCCAAUAUAUCUAGAGAAAUGGAGUUCUUCAGAUUAUGAAGUGGCUUUUGAGCUUCAUCAAUAAUGUUGGACUUUAUUUUAAAAGCAAUAGGAAGUUGGCUGGGUGCAGUGGCUCAUGCCUGUAAUCCCAGCACUUUGGGAGGCCAAGGUGGGUGGAUCAUUUGAGGUCAGCGGUUCGAGACCAGCCUGGUCAACAAGAUGAAACCCUGCCUCUACUAAAAAUACAAAAAGAAAAAAAAUGAGCCAGGCAUGAUGGCACACGCCUGUUAUCCCAGCUACUUGGGAGGCUGAGGCACGAGAAUUGCUUGAACCCAGGAGGCAGAGGUUGCAGUGAGCUGAGAUUGCACCACUGCACUCCAGCCUGGGUGACAGAAUGAGACUGUGUCUCAAAAUUACUAACUAAAUAAAAUAAAAUAAAAGCAACAGGAAGCCAAUGACAGAUUUUAAGUAAUGGAGAAACAUGAGAUUUGCAUUUUUUCUUAAGAGGGUCUUGCUAUAUUGUCCAGGCUGGUCUUGAACUCCUGGGUUCAAGCAAUCCUCCAGCCUCAGCCUCCCCACUAGCUGGUAUUUCAGGUGUGUGCCAUGGUGCUAGAAUGAACUGGGGCAAGAGUGAAUACAAGCAGCAACAGUUGUGAAGAUGACUAUUGCAGCAAUAACCUGGAGAGAGAUGAUGGAAGCCUGCAGGGAUGGCGACUUUGUG